UACGUAUGGUGCAAGCGUUAUCCGGAAUGACUGGGUGUAAAGGGAGCGUAGACGGUUGUACAAGUCUGACGUGAAAGCCCACGGCUCAACUGUGGGAGUGCAUUGGAAACUGUAGAACUAGAGUAUCGGAGAGGCAAGUGGAAUUCCUAGUGUAGCGGUGAGAUGCGUAGAUAUUAGGAGGAACACCAGUGGCGAAGGCGGCUUGCUGGACGAAAACUGACGUUGAGGCUCGAAAGCGUGGGGAGCAAACAGG
rnacentral:rRNA from 1 species